rnacentral:lncRNA from 1 species
GUGAGAUGUGCAGAUAUCUAGAGAUGGAAAGAGAUUCUGGGAGAGAGAAUCGUGAUGGACUGGUGGCUGACCACCGCAACCAUUGGCGGCGCCACCUGAUUCCGGCGCGUCAACGACCGCAACCGACGGAACAAUGGCUGAGCCCUUGAGAGAGAGAAGACGCUGGCCUUGAAGACGGUUAGCAUUCCGACCAAAUUAGACCAGGUUCCGGUACGACUAGGGUUCUAGGAGCAGUGCCGGCAAAGAUAAUCAGUUGAAGAUCCGGUGAGCGGAUUAAAGCCUGGUGUCCGUAGGAAUGAAUCUGGGGUGAUUACGGUUACCGGAAAAGCAUCGUCUGGUGUCCGUAGGAAUGAAUUUCUCACAGCUCUUAAUCCCUGAUUUUGAGAAUUUAUGUUUGAAUAGUACUCGCAAUGGGGAAUGAUGUGUUGUGAAUAACUUCGGGUGAAGUGGAAGGACAUGUAGGAAAUCGAUGAGAAGGCAAACCAUCCGAGAGACGACCAGUGUAUCAAUCCAUCGACUGAAAAAGUAUGGCCAUAUGUAGAGGUGAUGGGGUAGCCAAGACUAAGGUGUUAUGACCAUAAGAAAUCCCACACUCCACUCUAUUCUUUUAGUGACAUGGAUCUAGCAUCAAGGUUUUGGGAAUCUAUCGAAAGCAUGGACCAAGAAGUCAAGGGACCGGAGUUCACGUGGGAACUUAAAGAUCUGUUAAAGCUCUAAUAUCCUCAAUUGUUCAAGUGGUUGAACCAACUUUUGUAGUCAUUGGCGAAUUUUGGGACGAAAUUCCCUUUCAAGUUGGGGAUGAUGUGGUACCCGGGAAAAUCCACAGUCAUCCUGAUCUAACACCUUGCUGCUAGGGAUUGCCUGUCUUGGAUUACUUAUCAAAUUUCGGGGCGAAAUUUCUUUCAAGUUGGGGAUGAUGUGACAACCUGAGAUUUCAAGGUCUUCCGUUACGUGUUAAUUGCUUACAAUCCUGUUUUCAUACUUAGCUUUGUGUUGCAACUUGAACAUGAUUGGUAAAUUGUAUGAUUAUUAGUUAAUGGAACUUGUAAACUGUUUAAGGCUUUUAGACUUAGUCCAUGACUUCAUACUU